UGGCUGACCAGCAACUUGGAGGAAUGUAUAUCGAAACCGGUAAAAAGGAUAUGUAGAUAAUAGUAUUAGAAAAUAAUAUGAAAUUAACUAAGUUAAUUAAAAUUCAGAGUAGAUGUGUGAUUAUGACAAUAUUUGCUUAUGUCUUGACAAAGUCACGUGCCAGCAGUCGCGGUAAUACGUGGUAGAUUAGUGUUAUUCAUCUUAAAUAGGUAUAAAGGGUACCUAGACGGUUAAUUAAGCAUACGAGUGUACUAAUUAUUAACUAGAGUUUAAUGUAAGCAGGCUUGAGUACGGUGAGUGUAGAGAUAUAAUUCUGUGAUACCACUUAGGAACUGGUAAAGGCGAAGGCAACCUUCUAUGUAAAAACUGACGUUAAGGGACGAAGGCUCGUAUUAAGCAAUAGGAUUAGAGACCCUAGUAUUGUGGGCAGAAAAUGAUGAGUGUCAUAUGCAAGAAAAAAAUAUAAAAAAUAAAAAUUUUGUGUAUAAAUGAAAGUGUAAGCACUCCACCUCAAGAGUAACGUGGCAACAUGGGAACUGAAAUCAUUAGACCGUUUCUGAAACUCGUAGUGAAGUAUGUUGUUUAAUUUGAUGAUCCUCAAAAAACCUUACCACAAUUUGUAUGACUAGUGAUUAUACUAGUUACAAGCGUUGCACGGCUGUCUUUAGUUAAUGUUGUGAAACUUUGGUUAGAUCCAAAAAAUUGACGUAAACCCUUGCUUUAUUUAUAAUAGAGCAGUUAGCCGCUAUAUUGGUAAUUAUAUAAGGGACCAAGACAAGUCAUCAUGACCCGAACAUUGUGGGCUAUAGACGUGCCACAUUACCCUUAACAAAAAGAUGCAAAA
rnacentral:rRNA from 1 species